rnacentral:rRNA from 2 species
AUAAUGACUCUCGGCAACGGAUAUCUCGGCUCUCGCAUCGAUGAAGAACGUAGCGAAAUGCGAUACUUGGUGUGAAUUGCAGAAUCCCGUGAACCAUCGAGUCUUUGAACGCAAGUUGCGCCCGAAGCCAUCAGGCCGAGGGCACGCCUGCCUGGGCGUCACGC